rnacentral:rRNA from 1 species
AUACGUAGGGGGCGAGCGUUGUCCGGAAUGAUUGGGCGUAAAGGGCGCGUAGGCGGCCCGGUAAGUCUGGAGUGAAAGUCCUGUUUUUAAGAUGGGAAUUGCUUUGGAUACUGUCGGGCUUGAGUGCAGGAGAGGUAAGUGGAAUUCCCAGUGUAGCGGUGAAAUGCGUAGAGAUUGGGAGGAACACCAGUGGCGAAGGCGACUUACUGGACUGUAACUGACGCUGAGGCGCGAAAGUGUGGGGAGCAAACAGGAUUAGAUACCCUGGUAGUCCACACUGUAAACGAUGAAUGCUAGGUGUAGGGGGUAUCGACCCCUUCUGUGCCGCAGUUAACACAAUAAGUAAUCCACCUGGGGAGUACGGCCGCAAGGUUGAAACUCAAAUGAAUUGACGGGG